UCAGCCUGUGAUUAACCUUCAGAGUGUCCU
rnacentral:piRNA from 1 species